GAGAAAGCGACUAAGGGCGUACAGGGGAUGCCUUGGCGUCAAGUGCCGAAGAAGGGCGUGGUACACUGCGAUAAGCUCCGGUCAGGCGUGUGCAGCCGUGAACAGCCGGAGAUUUCCGAAUGGGGAAACCCGGCGGGGGUGAUACCCCGUCAUCCUGCCAAGCAGGAGGGGAACUGGGUGAACUGAAACAUCUUAGUAACCCGAGGAAAAGAAACGAUUCUGCGAGUAGUGGCGAGCGAAAGCGGAACAGCCCAAACCGCACUUCGGUGCGGGGUUGUAGGACUCGAGCGCGCGUGGCAAAGGCGAAGUAGAAGGCGUUGGGAAACGCCGCCAGAGAGGGUGAGAGCCCCGUAUACGGAAGCCGGCGCCAGGCACGAGGAUCCUGAGUAGCGCGGGGCACGCUAACCCUGCGUGAAGCUGGGUGGCCCACCACCCAAGGCUAAAUACACUUGACGACCGAUAGCGGACCAGUACCGUGAGGGAAAGGUGAAAAGAACCCCGGCGAGGGGAGUGAAAUAGAAUCUGAAACUGUGCACUUACAACCGGUCGGAGGUAUGAGAGAUCAUACUGACGGCGUGCCUUUAGGAGAAUGAGCCAGCGAGUUAAUGUGUGUGGCGAGCUUAAGACAUAUUCAGUCGAAGGCGCAGGGAAACCGAGUCUGAAGAGGGCGAUGUAGUGGCGCAUAUUAGACACGAAACCAUGCGAGCUAACCAUGGCCAGGGCGAAGUUACGGUAACACGUAAUGGAGGUCCGCACCCACCGAUGUUACAAAAUCGGGGGAGGAGUUGUGGUUAGAGGUGAAAUGCCAAACGAGCUUGGAGAUAGCUUGUUCUCCCC
rnacentral:rRNA from 1 species